rnacentral:piRNA from 1 species
UAGGACAUUUGACACAGGGCUUUACACG